rnacentral:tRNA from 1 species
GGGUGUAGUUCAAUGGUAGAACGGCGGUCUCCAAAACCGUUAAUCUGAGUUCGACUCUUAGUACC